UGAAUUAGCUGAGAUGGCCUGUAAUUCUCCUGCAGGCCUGAGUCCAGCCAGAACAGCAACCAAUCGGAUCACCCAUCAUCAGGAAUACAGUCUGAUGGCGGUUCUUUAGUGCCAGGUCCAUCUCUGCACUGUCAGAAAAUUGCUCGUGCCAAGUGGGAGUUUCUGUUUGGCACUCCAGCAGAAAACACUGCCAGCAAACAAGAGAAGAAUGUUCCAGAAUCCUCCACAGCUCCACCAAGUGGCCACUCCACCCCAAUACCACCCUCUUAUCUGCCAUUGGAGGAGCUUGCUCUCAGAGCGAAUCAUGACGUCCAACACGUGGAGGUGGAGCUAGUGACUCCACCCCCCGCCGCCCCAGGCACCUCCCCCAAAACAGGCAUAAUUCGGCGAACUUUGAAAUACUCAGAGACCGAUCUGGACGCCGUUCCGUUACGAUGUUAUCGGGAGACAGACAUAGACGAGGUGCUGUUAGCAGAGCAAGAGGACGCUGACUCAGCGUUUGGAAGUAACCGAAGUGUCAUGGGAACUUCCUGUGCUGGGAGCAGCCCGCUAGGAGAGAUGUCGAAUGAAAGAACAGAUGGACAGGAGGAGGAGGAGGAGGAGGAAGAGGAGGAUGUUGCGAGCUGGGUCACUGUCAGGAUGCAGGGCGAUGUGAGGAGGCUGUUGGCCGAUCAGGAGCGAGAUGAAGAAGAGGAGUUUUACAGCAUGAUGCUAAAGAGGUGGGAAGUGGCAAAAACACAAUUUUUUUUAAGCAGCGAUUAAAUGAUUCAUUAUGGUUCAGAAUAUCAGAAAUAACAAGCCUAUCUUUUUCUAGGCCCCAAGAUCGUUUCAGUAACAACCAUCCAGCUCUAAAAUCUCCCAUCCUGGUCCGUGGUCCUUGCAGAAGGUCCGGAGACAGUUUGGACACAUUCAGCCGGCAUUUUGAGAACAUCAUGGAGUCACACCGUGCCAAGGGCACCUCCUACAGCAGUCUGGACAGUCUCGACCCUCUGACCUCUAGCACUCAAACUGUCCUGACCUUUGACUUCCCCACACUGACUCCACAGGUGCAGGGUCAGAUCUACCAGAGUGCCCGGCAAAUCGUAGAGCUCAGCUUCGCUCCAUUGGCACACAUAGAGAUGCCCAGCCUUUCAGAGUCGGCACUGACGAUAACAGGGGAGACGGAUGCCACACGAGCGCCAUCCAGUGAACGUCUCAGCAGCGGGUCCGACGAUCGCAACGGACAGAGCUGGCAGAGCAACCCACCACUUUCACUGCCCAGGUUUGUGUAAUUUUCAUCACUGAAGUGAGGAAUUGUAUGUUUUGAGUAGAAGAACUUAAUAAUGUGCUCUGGUUGUAGAAGGUCAUCUGUGCAGUAUGGAAGUAUGCCCUUCUGAGGCUUGUCCAAAUACUCACACUUGCGGUCUUGACCACUUGGGAGCACAUGCAUGCAACAGAAAGUAAGUGCACAAGACUGUCCCAGGACUUAAAAACACGACUCAAAAAGUGUAUCCCAUCAUGCAUCAUGUUCUGAAAAUAACCCGCCAGACUUUUUUGCCAAGAUCUCGCGAGAGGUUGUGGAAACCUUUCCAGUGUAAUUUUAAUGUUGAUAAUAAUUAGAUAUUUAGGUAGU
ensembl:lncRNA